rnacentral:rRNA from 1 species
UCCAGACUCCUACGGGAGGCAGCAGUGAGGAAUAUUGGUCAAUGGGCGAGAGCCUGAACCAGCCAAGUCGCGUGAGGGAGUACUGCCCUAUGGGUUGUAAACCUCUUUUGUCGGGGAGCAAAAGCCGGACGUGUCCGGCUGUGAGAGUACCCGAAGAAAAAGCAUCGGCUAACUCCGUGCCAGCAGCCGCGGUAAUACGGAGGAUGCGAGCGUUAUCCGGAUUUAUUGGGUUUAAAGGGUGCGUAGGCGGAACAUUAAGUCAGCGGUAAAAUCGAGGGGCUCAACCCCUUUAAGCCGUUGAAACUGGUGAUCUUGAGUGGGCGAGAAGUAUGCGGAAUGCGUGGUGUAGCGGUGAAAUGCAUAGAUAUCACGCAGAACUCCGAUUGCGAAGGCAGCAUACCGGCGCCCGACUGACGCUGAGGCACGAAAGCGUGGGGAUCGAACAGGAUUAGAUACCCCUGUAU